AUUCCUUCUCAGCCUUUUGGCUAAGAUCAUGUGUAGCAGCUGUCCUUAUCAGUUUAAUAUCUGAUAAGGACUUUAUAUUAAACGGAUUUGGGGGCACGGGAAUUGGGCCUGGAGCUUGCUCCCUUUGCUUCAUGCAUCAUCCUGGUAUGACAGUACCUCCAGGCAAUUAUUUCCCAGGC
rnacentral:snRNA from 1 species